rnacentral:rRNA from 1 species
ACCAGACUCCUACGGGAGGCAGCAGUGGGGGAUAUUGCACAAUGGGGGGAACCCUGACGCAGCGACGCCGCGUGGGUGAAGAAGCGCCUCGGCGCGUAAAGCCCUGUCAGCAGGGAAGAAAAUGACGGUACCUGAAGAAGAAGCCCCGGCUAACUACGUGCCAGCAGCCGCGGUAAUACGUAGGUGGCAAGCGUUGUCCGGAUUUACUGGGUGUAAAGGGCGUGCAGCCGGGCUGACAAGUCAGAUGUGAAAUCCCGCGGCUCAACCGCGGAACUGCAUUUGAAACUGUCAGUCUUGAGUACCGGAGAGGUCAUCGGAAUUCCUGGUGUAGCGGUGAAAUGCGUAGAUAUCAGGAGGAACACCGGCGGCGAAGGCGGCCUGCUGGACCGUAACUGACGUUGAGGCUCGAAAGCGUGGGGAGCAAACAGGAUUAGAUACCCCUGUA